UGGAUCCCUUAACAGCUUUCAUGCAUCCAUUUGGGACAACCCAUCUUAUAAAGGUUUUUCUCUGUGGUUCAGAAAGUAGACAGUGCUGAAGUACAAACAUAACCUAGGAGGAAGAAUGAACUCUGUAUUGGUGGUUUACCUGUGCUGAUGCAAACCUGGCCAGAGAAGAUCCAAGAAACAGGAAAAAGGAUUACACAGGAUCAGCUUUUGAACCCUGAAGAGAAAUUAUAACCUACUUGGAAGAUACUUCGAAAAAGAGGGACACAUGCAAAGAAGAGAAAUGGGGGAAAGUAUAGGCAAAGAUAACAAUAUUACUUUGAGUUUGGGAGUGCAACCUGAAGAAGAAGAAAACUUGGAGAGGCAUGUCUGGAAGAGAACUUUUUGGCAAAAGGCUAAUAAAAUAAAAUAAAAUGGU